GUGGGGAAUAUUGGACAAUGGGCGAAAGCCUGAUCCAGCCAUGCCGCGUGUGUGAAGAAGGUCUUCGGAUUGUAAAGCACUUUAAGUUGGGAGGAAGGGCAGUAAGUUAAUACCUUGCUGUUUUGACGUUACCGACAGAAUAAGCACCGGCUAACUUCGUGCCAGCAGCCGCGGUAAUACGAAGGGUGCAAGCGUUAAUCGGAAUUACUGGGCGUAAAGCGCGCGUAGGUGGUUUUGUAAGUUGGAAGUGAAAUCCCCGGGCUCAAACUGGGAACUGCUUUCAAAACUGCUGAGCUAGAGUACGGUAGAGGGUGGUGGAAUUUCCUGUGUAGCGGUGAAAUGCGUAGAUAUAGGAAGGAACACCAGUGGCGAAGGCGACCACCUGGACUGAUACUGACACUGAGGUGCGAAAGCGUGGGGAGCAAACAGGAUUAGAUACCCUUGUAGUCC
rnacentral:rRNA from 1 species